CCCAACCGAGGUAAGAGAGAUUAUCCCUGUUGAUUCUAUAUUUUAGCUUUUUUAAAGUCGUCUAAUCAUGGUUAUCAUUCUUAGAUAUGUUGCUACUUCUACUCCUGGGACUUGUCAUGAGAAGCCGAGUUUUAACGUUUGGUCUUUUGAUGGCCACCUACUCUACCAAUUAUAGAAGGAUCUCUUCACAAAGUUUUCAUGGCGACCAAGGCCACUCAACAUGGCGACCAAGGCCACUCAACAUGGCGACUAAGGCUAUUAUGGGGUCCAUGAGCCAUAACAGCUUGCAUUCACUCAACAUGGAAGAUGAUGAGUAUUCACUCAACAUGGAAGAUGAUGAUAAUUCCAUGAGUUUGACUGGGGGUAUCAAGAAGUCUGUGGCUUUCAUGGAAAAGUUUCACGAAGAUUUGGAUGCCUUUUAUAGGCUGGAUGAUGAGGAAAGGCAGUUAUUGAUAGACCUCAAGUACCUCACUUUGAGCCCCGCUUCUCAAAAACCUAAGGAGAAAGAUGUAGUCAUAGUUAUCAGUGAUGAUGAGGAGGAAAAGCAUGUAUUGAUGAACCUUAAAUACCUUGCUUCGAGCUCCACUUCUAAAAAACCUGAGGGGGCAGAUGUAGUCAUAGGUAUCAGUGACGAGGAGGAAAAGAUGGCUUUGCAGCCAUCUUCUCCAAAGAAAACACUUCCAAUGGCUGGGCAAACCAAGGAAAGACGGUUCCAUAGAAAAUGGACCAAAGAAGAAGAAGAGGCUUUAAGGCAUGGUUAUAAAAAGUAUAAAACAAAUUGGAAAUUGAUUUUGGGUGAUCCAGCCUACAAAGCUUGCCAUGGCAGAACUAAUGUUGAUUUGAAAGACAAAUGGCGGAAUUUGAUGAGGGCUGAUGACAGGGCUAAGGCGAAGGCCUGCUACUCAUUACCAAGUACGAAGCUAUGAGUUUCCCUCAAAAAUCUUAAAAACGAAUGGAAUUGAUGGUACGUGAGACAUGUUGACAUUUUUGCUGUAUAUGGAGAGCUUGGUUUGUCUGUUCCAAGGUGAUUCGCAGCAGGCUGUCUUCGUUAUCAGAAGCUAUACCAAAGGGAAAUCACAAAUCUUGUAGUUUUAAUUCAAAUCAUUUUACAGCACUGAAAACUAAAUUUUGAUUCUUCCUACAAGAUACUAUGCUUGAAAAUAAUAACUCAGUUGGCUUGUUCAAUACUAGUUACGUGUGCAUCUUGACUGGUAUGAGAUGACAUUGAUUUUUGAAUCAGUAUGCAUGCAGUUCAAGGUCGAAUUCUUGAUAUUGUUGGAGAAGUUGUAAUUGAUUUCAUGUUUGCGGGUGGUUUCAUGGACAUUAACAGGAGUCCAAAAGCUACUUUCAGCACUUCCUGAUAACUUUCUGUUUCUUGUCUGUACAGCUGAUAGAUUGCACACAACAUGCUGGGAUUGCACAACUUUUCAGAGCACAACUGCACAAUUGUGUUCCGUUUAUCAAAUUUAAAUAUAAAAAUGGAACUUUUGAUUGUAUUUUCCAAUUCAAAUUCAACUAGAAUAUACUUCCUGACUUGUCCAUC